rnacentral:rRNA from 1 species
UCAGAUUGAACGCUGGCGGAAUGCUUUACACAUGCAAGUCGAACGGUAGAGGGGGCAACCCCUUGAGAGUGGCGAACGGGUGAGUAAUGUAUCGGAACGUGCCCAGUCGUGGGGGAUAACGUAGUGAAAAUUACGCUAAUACCGCAUACGAUCUAUGGAUGAAAGCGGGGGAUCGCAAGACCUCGCGCGAUUGGAGCGGCCGAUAUCAGAUUAGGUAGUUGGUAGGGUAAAGGCCUACCAAGCCAACGAUCUGUAGCUGGUCUGAGAGGACGACCAGCCACACUGGAACUGAGACACGGUCCAGACUCCUACGGGAGGCAGCAGUGGGGAAUUUUGGACAAUGGGCGAAAGCCUGAUCCAGCCAUUCCGCGUGCAGGAUGAAGGCCCUCGGGUUGUAAACUGCUUUUGUACAGAACGAAAAGGUUUCUAUUAAUACUAGGAGCUCAUGACGGUACUGUAAGAAUAAGCACCGGCUAACUACGUGCCAGCAGCCGCGGUAAUACGUAGGGUGCAAGCGUUAAUCGGAAUUACUGGGCGUAAAGCGUGCGCAGGCGGUUAUAUAAGUCAGAUGUGAAAUCCCCGGGCUCAACCUGGGAACUGCAUUUGAGACUGUAUAGCUAGAGUACGGUAGAGGGGGAUGGAAUUCCGCGUGUAGCAGUGAAAUGCGUAGAUAUGCGGAGGAACACCGAUGGCGAAGGCAAUCCCCUGGACCUGUACUGACGCUCAUGCACGAAAGCGUGGGGAGCAAACAGGAUUAGAUACCCUGGUAGUCCACGCCCUAAACGAUGUCAACUGGUUGUUGGGUCUUAACUGACUCAGUAACGAAGCUAACGCGUGAAGUUGACCGCCUGGGGAGUACGGCCGCAAGGUUGAAAC